rnacentral:lncRNA from 1 species
AAAUGAUCAUAAAUAUAACAAAAGAAAACAUGAGCUAGAGUCUUUCUCAAGUCAGCAGAGGGUAACGGAAGGGGCUGAGACCCCAGGAAGGCAAGGAGAAAUUUCCUGAUACAUCUCUCAGACACACGUCCCUGACCCUAGAGAUUCUUGAAGGGAAGGGCCCUGUGAGGUGCAGGCAAGAGGAGCGACCUCAGCAGAGUGUCUGUCCAGAGGAGUAUUCCCCUGUUCCUUGCACCCUGGGUGGGAGCCACAGCCGAGAGGCUCAGAGCUGUUGCUGACCUGGCUAACACACUGAUCAGCAGAUUUCUUCACUUGCUCUCAAAUUAAAGCAUGCACGCUUCCUCUGUAAAGUCAUGUAAGCAUCUCUGUCACACCCAGACCCUCAUUUAUCCACCAGAAUUGCUUGAACUGCUCCUUUUAUUAAAUUUGAUUCCAUU